rnacentral:rRNA from 1 species
UACGGAGGGUGCAAGCGUUAUCCGGAUUCACUGGGUUUAAAGGGUGCGUAGGAGGGCAGGUAAGUCAGUGGUGAAAUCCCCGAGCUUAACUUGGGAACUGCCGUUGAUACUAUCUGUCUUGAAUAUCGUGGAGGUGAGCGGAAUAUGUCAUGUAGCGGUGAAAUGCAUAGAUAUGUCACAGAACACCAAUUUGCGAAAGGCAGCUUACUAAGG